AAGAGGCUGAUGAUGGAGACUUGCAUUUGGUUGGUACUGAAAAGGCUCAGUCUGCAAUUCCAACUAAAGGAGCCGAUGAGGAAUUGAACUUGGUAGCUACUGAUCAGAAGGAGGAAUAUGCAGCACAGUCUCCGGGACAGGGCAAAAAGAAGAAAUUUACUAAAAAGGCUAGUUAAUUUCUAACAAAUUAAUUUUCACAUAUCUGCAUAUAUGGUAAUUAAUUUAUUAAUUAUGUGUGCUUUAUUUAGGACAUUCUUGCUGAUUUUGAAGAAAAAAGGAAAAAGAGGGUUGCAGAAAAUAAUCAAAUGUUGGAAAAUCUGAGAAUAAAUAAACUGAAAGCUGAACUUGAAGCUAAAAAAGAAAAAAAGAAGAAGAUACUUGAUGGUAACGUAUCAGACUUGGAAUUUGAUCGGGACUAUGUCUCCGGACAUGAUAGCCUGCCUAGUAGCGAAGACGAGCAACCGGCGAAGCGGACAAAAAAAGCUCCAAAAGUGAAGGUUGCUAGCAGAACACCCACAACACGUUCCCAAACUGUCAAAAAAAUUGCUGAGACUCAAAAGGUUGAUGCUGAAGUAAUACCACCUCCCCCGCCACUACCUGCUGGUCUUCAAGAGUUGAAUCAGAUAAAGAGGGCAUACAGUAAUGAUGGAGUUGGAACAAUGGAGGCAUAUCUGAAGCUGAAAGAGAGUGAGAAACAAUUAAAAGCUGGAAAUGGA